GGUUGUAGCUCAGUGGUAGAGCACUUGCCUGGCACAUAUGAGGCUCUGAGUUCAAUUCUCAGUACCCCA
rnacentral:tRNA from 1 species